AGAUCAAGCAUUGGAAUAAGAUUUUUAUCGGGGGAGAACACCCAACAGAAAGACCCAUGAUUCACCAACUGGCGCACUGAAACGGGAGAUUCAUGUCACCUUCAUCAGUUCUUUCUUUAAUCACUGGACACCAUUAAGGGAAAGACCCUCAGAUACCAUGAUAAAUGCGGCUGCAGGUCAAGGCCUGGUGAGAGCCACUACAGAGGAUCAUAGCCAUAGUUGGAAUUCUGAAAGGAC